rnacentral:rRNA from 1 species
GCCUGAUGCAGCGACGCCGCGUGAGGGAUGACGGCCUUCGGGUUGUAAACCUCUUUCAGAAGGGAAGAAGCGAAAGUGACGGUACCUGCAGAAGAAGCGCCGGCUAACUACGUGCCAGCAGCCGCGGUAAUACGUAGGGCGCAAGCGUUAUCCGGAAUUAUUGGGCGUAAAGAGCUCGUAGGCGGUUUGUCGCGUCUGCCGUGAAAGUCCGGGGCUCAACUCCGGAUCUGCGGUGGGUACGGGCAGACUAGAGUGAUGUAGGGGAGACUGGAAUUCCUGGUGUAGCGGUGAAAUGCGCAGAUAUCAGGAGGAACACCGAUGGCGAAGGCAGGUCUCUGGGCAUUAACUGACGCUGAGGAGCGAAAGCAUGGGGAGCGAACAGGAUUAGAUACCCUGGUAGUCCAUGCCGUAAACGUUGGGCACUAGGUGUGGGGGACAUUCCACGUUUUCCGCGCCGUAGCUAACGCAUUAAGUGCCCCGCCUG